CGUUGAAACUUGGUAGUCGUGUUGUACUUUGUCUUUCCUUCUUUUACGCUUCCGUACAUGAUUUUCCACAUCUGGCUCCUUUUUCUGAGAAAGAACUACAGAUUUCCGAAGGUGCAAAUCUGAUUCAUCAGCUUUGACUUUACUCUUACAAUCGGAGAUGCACGAAAGAAGUCCGAUACCAAAUUGAUUUUUAGUUAUAUCUUUUGGAUCACGACCACUAUUGUG
rnacentral:lncRNA from 1 species